ensembl:snRNA U1 U1 spliceosomal RNA
UCUGGUACAAGGGCAGGUGGAUAGCAUGAUCACCAAGCUGGUUUUCCAAAGCUAGGCUUAUCCCUUGCAAUGUGGAUGUGCUGAACCCUGUGAUUUCCCCAAAUGUGGGAGACUCACAUACCCAAUUUGUGGUAGUAGGGGACUGUGUUUGAGUUCUCCCCUG